rnacentral:rRNA from 1 species
CAGCUAACGCAUGAGGCACUCCGCCUCGGGAGUACGACCGCAAGGUUGAAACUCAAAGUAAUUGACGGGGCCCGGCACAAGCGGUGGAGCAUGUGGUUUAAUUCGAAGCAACGCGAAGAACCUUACCAAAUCUUGACAUCCUUUGACAACUCUAGAGAUAGAGCCUUCCCCUUCGGGGGACAAAGUGACAGGUGGUGCAUGGUUGUCGUCAGCUCGUGUCGUGAGAUGUUGGGUUAAGUCCCGCAACGAGCGCAACCCUUAAGCUUAGUUGCCAUCAUUAAGUUGGGCACUCUAAGUUGACUGCCGGUGACAAACCGGAGGAAGGUGGGGAUGACGUCAAAUCAUCAUGCCCCUUAUGAUUUGGGCUACACACGUGCUACAAUGGACAAUACAAAGGGCAGCGAAACCGCGAGGUCAAGCAAAUCCCAU